GUGCCAGCAGCCGCGGUAAGACGAACCGUGCGAACGUUGUUCGGAAUCACUGGGCUUAAAGGGCGCGUAGGCGGCUUGCCAAGUCAGGGGUGAAAUCCUGCAGCUCAACUGUAGAAGUGCCUUUGAUACUGGCGAGCUCGAGGGAGGUAGGGGUGGGUGGAACUUCUGGUGGAGCGGUGAAAUGCGUUGAUAUCAGAAGGAACGCCGGUGGCGAAAGCGACCCACUGGAUCUCUACUGACGCUGAGGCGCGAAAGCUAGGGGAGCAAACGGGAUUAGAUACCCCCGUAGUCC
rnacentral:rRNA from 1 species